AAACAAUUUAUGUUAGGUGUUUUUAAAUGGUAAAUUAGUUGUUUAAGCAAACAAGUUAUAUUAUUUGUUGAAACAAGGAUAUCAAUGAUGAUUUUAUUCUUGAUCUUCCUUCUCAUAUGUUGUAUACAUGAUUUAAACGGUCAAUCACGACUUUGUGACAAUGAAUAUAAACCAGGCAUCGGGCGGUUGAAGAACAGAGACCAAACAAUCAAUCAAAUAAAGUCUCAAUGUAGAGAUCAUAUCGCGACUAUCCAGCUUUACUGGUGAAAAAGGAUCUCGGAUGCCUCUCAGUACAUUAUUUCAGGCACGACCACCGCCAACGUUUCGUAAGCUAGCAUCAACAUA